rnacentral:rRNA from 1 species
AGAGUUUGAUCCUGGCUCAGGAUGAACGCUGGCGGCGUGCUUAACACAUGCAAGUCGAACGAGCCUUCGGGCUAGUGGCGGACGGGUGAGUAACGCGUGAGAAUCUGCCCUUAGGAGGGGGAUAACGGCUGGAAACGGCCGCUAAUACCCCAUAUGCCGCGAGGUGAAAUGAGAAAUCGCCUGAGGAUGAGCUCGCGUCUGAUUAGCUAGUUGGUGGGGUAAGAGCCUACCAAGGCAUCGAUCAGUAGCUGGUCUGAGAGGAUGAUCAGCCACACUGGGACUGAGACACGGCCCAGACUCCUACGGGAGGCAGCAGUGGGGAAUUUUCCGCAAUGGGCGCAAGCCUGACGGAGCAACGCCGCGUGAGGGAUGAAGGCCUCUGGGCUGUAAACCUCUUUUCUCAAGGAAGAAGAACUGACGGUACUUGAGGAAUAAGCCACGGCUAAUUCCGUGCCAGCAGCCGCGGUAAUACGGGAGUGGCAAGCGUUAUCCGGAAUUAUUGGGCGUAAAGCGUCCGCAGGCGGUCUUGAAAGUCUGUUGUUAAAGCGUGGAGCUCAACUCCAUUUCAGCAAUGGAAACUAGAAGACUAGAGUGUGGUAGGGGCAGAGGGAAUUCCCGGUGUAGCGGUGAAAUGCGUAGAUAUCGGGAAGAACACCAGUGGCGAAGGCGCUCUGCUGGGCCAUAACUGACGCUCAUGGACGAAAGCCAGGGGAGCGAAAGGGAUUAGAUACCCCUGUAGUCCUGGCCGUAAACGAUGAACACCAGGUGUCGGGGGAAUCGACCCCCUCGGUGUCGUAGCCAACGCGUUAAGUGUUCCGCCUGGGGAGUACGCACGCAAGUGUGAAACUCAAAGGAAUUGACGGGGGCCCGCACAAGCGGUGGAGUAUGUGGUUUAAUUCGAUGCAACGCGAAGAACCUUACCAGGGUUUGACAUCCUGCGAAUCUUUUGGAAACAGAAGAGUGCCUUCGGGAGCGCAGAGACAGGUGGUGCAUGGCUGUCGUCAGCGCGUGUCGUGAGAUGUUGGGUUAAGUCCCGCAACGAGCGCAACCCACGUCUUUAGUUGCCAGCAUUGAGUUGGGCACUCUAGAGAGACCGCCGGUGAUAAACCGGAGGAAGGUGUGGAUGACGUCAAGUCAUCAUGCCCCUUACAUCCUGGGCUACACACGUACUACAAUGCUACGGACAGAGGGCAGCAAACUCGCGAGAGCUAGCAAAUCCCAUAAACCGUGGCUCAGUUCAGAUCGUAGGCUGCAACUCGCCUACGUGAAGGAGGAAUCGCUAGUAAUCGCAGGUCAGCAUACUGCGGUGAAUACGUACCCGGGCCUUGUACUCACCGCCCGUCACACCAUGGAAGUUGGCCAUGCCCGAAGUCGUUACUCCAACCCUUGUGGAGGAGGACGCCGAAGGUGGGGCUGAUGACUGGGGUGU